rnacentral:rRNA from 1 species
GCAUGUCUAAGUACAGUUCGGGAAGCAAUUCCUGGGGCGAAACCGCAGACGGCUCAUUAAAUCAGUUGUGGUCUAAAUGGGCGAAAGAUAUCUUAUGGAUAACUGUGGAAAAUCCAGAGCUAAUACAUGCGAUCUCAGAUCCUGAGCUAAAGGCGCCGUUCGCGGUGUUGAGUAACUCGGGAUGCUUUUAUUAGACCGAGGCGCGCGCACGCCGGAUACGACCAUCGUCUUCGCGGAUGCUUGGCACCGGUCCGUUAGUUUGUGUCGCAACGUAAGCGCUAUAUGGUGACUCUGGAUAACACUUGAUGAGCGUGUCAUUGUUUGGCACGCCGCCUACUUACGAGUGACUGACCUAUCAGCUAAAACGUAUGUUAUACGCAAACGUUGGCACUGACGGGUAACGGGGAAUCAGAGUUUGAUUCCGGAGAGGCAGCCUGAGAAACGGCUACCACGUCUAAGGACGGCAGCAGGCACGCAAAUUACCCAUUCCCAGCACCUGGGGGAGGUAGUGACGAUACUUACUGAUGCGGGUCAAUCUUCGGAUUACUCGCAAUCGGAAUGGCUAUUUUCUAAACACCCUAUCGAGAACCUACUGGAGGGCAAGCCUGGUGCCAGCAGCCGCGGUAAUUCCAGCUCCAGUGGCGUAUGCCAAUGUUGCUGCGGUUAAAAGGCUCGCAGUUGAAUGUCAGUUAUAAUACGCGUAGAAGUGCCGGGACGUUGUUCGUCAGCUCGUCAAGGGUUUGUCGGACCGUUCCUUGAGCGCAUUUCUCGCAAUCUAACAAUGAGUUGCCUGGUGUUUCCGCGUUCGUGGCGCGUGUCUUCGGACCGAGUCGCGGCGCGGUUCUCUACACCGGUUUCUCGACACCUUGAGUAAAUCAGAGUGCUUAAAGCAGUCGUUCUAAAACGGUCUGCGUAUGUGCGUGUAACGCAAGUUGCGCGUACGGCGUAUGUCUGUGACGGGUCUCGCGACCUGUUAAGACAUUGUCUUUGCUUUGCAUGGUACGUCGGAAGACGCCCUGGGAGUUGGUCGCGCUUACGAAUCACGUCGACACAAGCGGCGGGGGGGCAACCUCCCAUGUGUGCGUGUGCGCCAACAAUCAGGGAAUGAUGCGAAAGGGAUGGCUCGAAGGCAUUGGUAUUGCGAGGCGAGAGGUGAAAUUCUAUGACCCCCGCAAGACUACCCGAAGCGAAAGCGUCUGCCUAGGACGUCUUCAUUAAUCAUGAACGAAAGUUGAAGGAUCGAAGGCGAUCAGAUACCGCCCUAGUUUUAACCGUAAACUAUACCAACCAUCAAUCCGUCGACGCGUUCCCUUACUCCCGGCUUAUUCGCGGCGGCUCCGGUCGUUCGCGGUUUGUCGUGGACAAGUGUAAGCUCGAUGGGCAGUUCCUUUCCAACGGAAAACCAGAGUUUUUCGGUUCCGGGGGGAGUCUGGUUGCAAAGCUGAAACUUAAAGGAAUUGACGGAAAGGCACCACCAGGCGUGGAGCUUGCGGCUCAAUUUGACUCAACACGGGAAAUCUCACCAGACCCGAACAUCUUUGAUGACUGACAGACUGAAAGCUCUUUCUCAAUAAAGUGGAUGGUGGUGCAUGGCCGUUCUUAGUUGGUGGAGUGAUCUGUCUGGUUAAUUCCGAUAACGAACGAGACUCUCCCCUGCUAACGAACCUCGGUGUUCUUGUAGACAGUGUGAUUCGAAUCAAGAGUUCGACUGGUAACGGUCGUAUCUCGGACGUUGUCCACUGAUCCUUGUUGCGAUUGCGGAAGCGCUUGUUCUGGGGCGUGCGCGUGGCUUUCGGGCUUCUGCGUUGCGCACCGAGCUUGUUUCGUGACUGUAAUUCGUGGCUCGGAGUACGUUUCUUCUUAGAGGGAUUGACGACUCUAUAAGUCGUAAGAGACAGAGAGCAAUAACAGGUCUGUGAUGCCCUUAGAUGUUCUGGGCUGCACGCGUGUUACAAUGCCGGAGUCAACGGGUUAUCACGCUUCAUCGCGUCCUACUCUGAAAAGAGUGGGUAAACCUCUGAAACUCCUAACACGUCGUGUUAAUGCCUUUGGUUUUUAAUACGCGUACUACGGCUUGCUUGGGACUGGGGAUUGCAACUAUUCCCCACGAACGAGGAAUGCCUUGUAGUGGCGAGUCACAGAGCUCGCUGCGACUCUGUCCCUGCCCUUUGUACACACCGCCCGUCGCUACUACCGAUUGAGUGUACCAGUGAGAUUCUUGGACUGGCGAACCGAUCGGCGUCAAAACCUUUCGGCGUACGACAGAAAGAGACUCGAACUGGUGCACUUAGAGGAAGUAAAAGUCGUAACAAGGUUUCCGUAGGUGAACCU